rnacentral:rRNA from 1 species
GACGAACGCUGGCGGCGUGCCUAAUACAUGCAAGUCGAACGCUUCUUUUUCACCGAACUUCGGUUCAUCGAAAAAGAGGAGUGGCGAACGGGUGAGUAACACGUGGGUAACCUGCCCAUCAGAAGGGGAUAACACUUGGAAACAGGUGCUAAUACCGUAUAAUGCUUUUUCUCGCAUGAGAGCAAACUGAAAGGCGCUUUUGCGUCACUGAUGGAUGGACCCGCGGUGCAUUAGCUAGUUGGUGAGGUAACGGCUCACCAAGGCCACGAUGCAUAGCCGACCUGAGAGGGUGAUCGGCCACACUGGGACUGAGACACGGCCCAGACUCCUACGGGAGGCAGCAGUAGGGAAUCUUCGGCAAUGGACGAAAGUCUGACCGAGCAACGCCGCGUGAGUGAAGAAGGUUUUCGGAUCGUAAAACUCUGUUGUUAGAGAAGAACAAGGAUGAGAGUAAAAUGUUCAUCCCUU